AUGUGGAGAUCACAACAGCAUUUCCUAGGGGACUGUUGCGCACUUUUGGAUCGGAACUUACUGGAAACGAAGUGGGCGGCCAGAGGAGGACCGCACGGUGCUCCUGGUGGCCGGGGGCUUUCUGCCCCUUACCUCUCUCUGGAGGGUGGGGGGGACAACAUCAUUGUGCAUGUGUGUGUGUGUGUGUGUGUGUGUAUUUUAAGAUGUAUUUAUUUGAGGGGCAGAGUUACAGAAAGAGGGAGAGAUAGAAGUCUUCUAUCCAGUGGUUCACUCCCCAAAUGGCCACAAUGUCUGGCUAAUCGGAAGCCAGGAGCCAGGAGCUUCUUCCGGGUCUCCCAUGUGGGUGCGGGGCCCAAGCACUUGGGUCAUCUUCCACUGCUGUCCGGGGCCAUAGCAGAGAGCUGGCUGGCAAGUGGAGCAGCCGGGACUCAAACUGGCGCCCAAGGCAGAGGCUUAACCUGCUGUGCCGCAGUGCUGGUCCCAGCGGUUGUAUUUUUCAGAGAAUCCAUCUCUUUUACAGAUACGCACUCAAGAAUCUGUGGACAAAAUGCCGCCCGGAAACCCAGGGCACCGCAGUGCGGGGGCGGAGGCGCGGUGCGGACGCGCGGCUGCGGUCCCUCCCGCCGGUGCACCGGGGCACAGGUGAGCCUGGCGCCCGCGCGCUCCCCCGGCCGCGCUCCGCCCCUGCUCGCGCCCGCCCGGUCCGCAGGUGGCUCCGAGGCGGCCGCCGGGCCGACGCGCGCGGUCAAGGCCGCAGAGCCCCGGGGACGGGCGGGGCGCGGAGCCAAUCCCAGCGUGGGGCGCCGCAGGGCACGGCGUGAGGGAGGAAGCGACCUUGGGCGGGGACUGCGGGGGCCUGGGGCUCCGGGCGGAGGAAGGGCAUCUAAGGUGAGCGUGAGCGGCAGGUGCAGCGCAGGGGCGCGUCCUGCGGCCGAGCCCUGGCGCGGGGGCCGGGGGCCGGGGACUGCUGGGCGGCCAGGCAAGAACCCGCGGGGGGACGGGUGGGGGGACUAAAACCCCAACUUCUGAAUUUACUAAAGGAAAAGCGACGCAGCCUCCCGCCCCGCCCCCGCCCGGGCACUGGCCGGGAGGAAAAGCAUCCCUCUGCUGGGCGUUGGGUCCGCCUGGGCCGGCCAGGGUGGACGCCAGCCGGCACUUCCGGACAGCUGGGCAAGUGUCACCCAGAGCUCCCACGCGCCCGGUGGCCUCGCUUCUGGGAGAGGCGCCCGGGCGCCGCUGGCUCUCAGUUACACCUGCAGUGGCCAGCACUGCGGCCCUCGACGUCCACUGCGGGCCGGCUCCGGGGUCGGGGGCGUCGUCCGGGGCGGGAGGCUGCGCGGCGCCGGCCACCGCUGCCCGCUGGACAGCUGCGCCCACGAGCUCAGCGGGCCGCGCGCGGACGCGCCCCCAUCCCGCCCCGGAAAGCUGGGGCCGCCCGCGCGCGGGGGCGGGAUCCAGGGGUCACUUUCGUUUUCUCUUCUGAGGUCGUCCGCGCGGACGUGGAGGAAGACGGGGGCGAGCGCGAGUCCUCGGCGGCCGGCCGAGGACCCCCGGCGUCGACUCCCCGGGGGGGUCCCCUGCGCUGCCCCGCCCCCCGCCCCCUCUGCCAACUCUCUCUCUGGCCUGUUACGUCCCUGACGCGGGAUUAAUUAUUUUGCUAAGGAAAGCAUCUGCACGCGUGAGCCCCGCCGCCUCCCAAGGAACUGGUCGGGGGUCCGGGCCGUGCGGUGUCGGGCGCUUCGUCACCCCAGGGUGGGAGAUGAGAGCCUCCGCCUACGGGCUGCCGCGUCGCGUGCGCUCUAUUGGGAAAUCCUAUAAAACGGCGGUCUGCGAGCGGGCCCAUUACAAGGAUGUUAUGGUCUAAGUCGAAGUACCUG
rnacentral:lncRNA from 1 species